GAAGGAUUAGCUUUGCACUGAGGAAGUUAAGAUCUAAUGCAAACAAAUAGCUAUAACAACUGCAAAGGGAAUUUACAGCGGGAUAGUUUACUCCUUGUCUAGAGCCAACCCUGGGUGGGACAGCAUGUGCAAUCAAAGAAUCAGCUUCCCCUGAGGAAAAAUAUGGAGAUGGAUCUCUCCAGGACACAGCUGAGUCUGAUGGUGGGAUAUGGAAAUCCACAUUCUGCAGCUGUUGCAAGGACUCUUGCAGGCACAGCCCUCAGCACGUUGAUUCUGCUCCGUGUGAACCCUGAAGUGCCACACACACGCUGAGCCGUGUGACUGCUCACCCACUGACACACGACUUCAUCACAGGACAUGCCAAGUCUUUCAACAAGUGGGAUUUAACUUUCUGAGAAGUUUUCAAAGGGAUUCUGCUGGACUAUAGCAUCCUCUGUAUCUCCCCAGACAGAUUUUACGCUGAAACAGUGCCAGCUUGGACAGCUCUGCUGCCAGCAGAAGCACUAAGUUGGGCACUGUGAGCAUCCCCCCCAUGGCAAGAACCGCCAUCGGGGGGUAUAAAGCAGGCUGCUCUGCCUGAAGAACACGGCAAUUCCUCUGCCAGCUUUCUGCAGGCCCACGAGGCAACCAAUGGCUCCAUCUAACACUGCCUGGGAGAGCAGAAAUAGCAGAGACUGCAGAAGCAAGUGUGCUUCAGUGGUGUGGAGGAAGAAGAGACAAGGAGAUGUACAUAUGUGGAUCUUUUAGCAAUUAGCCCAAGCAACAGGAGGAACAGCCACCGAGCACACAAUGAACAGACGCUGAAGGCACCUACAGGAAGGGCCGAUUUGCAGAAAACUAUUUUGCAACAUCUGCGAC